rnacentral:tRNA from 1 species
GGCCCCGUCGCCAAGUGGUAAGGCAGAGGUCUGCAACACCUUUAUCACCAGUUCGAAUCUGGUCGGGGCCU